CCUACGGGUGGCAGCAGUGGGGAAUAUUGGACAAUGGGCGAAAGCCUGAUCCAGCCAUGCCGCGUGUGUGAAGAAGGCCUUCGGGUUGUAAAGCACUUUCAGUGGGGAAGAAAGCCUUGGGGCUAAUACCCUCGAGGAAGGACAUCACCCACAGAAGAAGCACCGGCUAACUCCGUGCCAGCAGCCGCGGUAAUACGGAGGGUGCGAGCGUUAAUCGGAAUUACUGGGCGUAAAGCGCGCGUAGGCGGUCUGAUAAGCCGGUUGUGAAAGCCCCGGGCUCAACCUGGGAACGGCAUCCGGAACUGUCAGGCUAGAGUGCAGGAGAGGAAGGUAGAAUUCCCGGUGUAGCGGUGAAAUGCGUAGAGAUCGGGAGGAAUACCGGUGGCGAAGGCGGCCUUCUGGACUGACACUGACGCUGAGGUGCGAAAGCGUGGGUAGCAAACAGGAUUAGAUACCCUAGUAGUC
rnacentral:rRNA from 1 species